rnacentral:rRNA from 1 species
GACGUAGGGCGCGAGCGUUGUCCGGAUUUAUUGGGCGUAAAGAGCUCGUAGGCGGCUUGUCGCGUCGACCGUGAAAACUCGCAGCUCAACUGCGAGCCUGCGGUCGAUACGGGCAGGCUAGAGUUCGGUAGGGGAGACUGGAAUUCCUGGUGUAGCGGUGAAAUGCGCAGAUAUCAGGAGGAACACCGAUGGCGAAGGCAGGUCUCUGGGCCGAUACUGACGCUGAGGAGCGAAAGCCAGGGGAGCAAACGGG